rnacentral:rRNA from 1 species
CCGGAAUUAUUGGGUUUAAAGGGUGCGUAGGCGGCUAUUUAAGUCAGCGGUGAAAUUUUGCAGCUUAACUGUAACAGUGCCGUUGAAACUGUUUAGCUAGGAUUUGGUUGCAGUGUGCGGAAUGUGUGGUGUAGCGGUGAAAUGCUUAGAUAUCACACAGAACACCAAUUGCGAAGGCAGCACACUAAGUCAAUAUUGACGCUGAGGCACGAAAGUGUGGGGAUCAAACAGGAUUAGAUACCCUGGUAGUCCACACUGUAAACGAUGAUAACUCGCUGCCGGCGAUACAUUGUUGGUGGCCAAGCGAAAGCAUUAAGUUAUCCACCUGGGGAGUACGACCGCAAGGUUGAAACUCAAAGGAAUUGACGGGGGCCCGCACAAGCGGAGGAACAUGUGGUUUAAUUCGAUGAUACGCGAGGAACCUUACC